rnacentral:misc_RNA from 1 species
GUUUUCUUUCUUUAGGGCGGUUAUCUUGUUUCCCAUUUUGCUAAGCAGAAAAGCCAAGGGAUAAAUAAAUUUAUUCUUUUAUGGUAGAUGCAAUUUCUGCUUUGAGCAGAUGUUCUUAUCCUAUCAGUCUGCAGAUGCCCUGAAGCCUAUCACACUUGGUUUAUCUAAAACCUGCAAUACAGGAUUAGCCCUUGAAGUUUUUGAGGUCAUUGUAUUUUAUAAUCUGUGUACACACAAGCUUUUUUAAUGCCCCUCUAUUUU